rnacentral:rRNA from 1 species
GACGAACGCUGGCGGCGUGCUUAACACAUGCAAGUCGAACGGAAAGGCCCUGCUUUUGUGGGGUGCUCGAGUGGCGAACGGGUGAGUAACACGUGAGUAACCUGCCCUUGACUUUGGGAUAACUUCAGGAAACUGGGGCUAAUACCGGAUAGGAGCUCCUGCUGCAUGGUGGGGGUUGGAAAGUUUCGGCGGUUGGGGAUGGACUCGCGGCUUAUCAGCUUGUUGGUGGGGUAGUGGCUUACCAAGGCUGUGACGGGUAGCCGGCCUGAGGGGGUGACCGGCCACAUUGGGACUGAGAUACGGCCCAGACUCCUACGGGAGGCAGCAGUGGGGAAUAUUGCACAAUGGGCGGAAGCCUGAUGCAGCAACGCCGCGUGCGGGAUGACGGCCUUCGGGUUGUAAACCGCUUUCGCCUGUGACGAAGCGUGAGUGACGGUAAUGGGUAAAGAAGCACCGGCUAACUACGUG